UGGAAUGCUACCAAACAAGGCUGCACUCUACACCAUUUGCAGUUGUGAAUAAAGAUCCUGGCCAAAAAAAUUAAAAGGCCCCUUUUCACAAAACAUUUUUGACACAUUACAGAGAAGAGAAGCAGAUAAAUGAUGGCUGAACUUAUUAUAGUUCUAUGACAACGGGCUGUUUUUGAGAAAUUCAGCAUGAGCAAUCCAAAUUUACCAUUUUGUAGUACCAUAAAGUCAACAGAGGAGCUGAGCUCCAGAGGUUUUUUCUUUUUUUUAACAUCCAUGAUGGGGAAAGCCUGCCUUCUACCUUGUUCAGGUAGUGAGCUCCAGGUGGUUGCUACACUCACGUGACAUUUUACACCGGUUGUUUGAAGCAGCAGGGCGGUUUAUUUAAGCUAACUAACUAUGCUCUCUGUCCAUUGCUGCCAUCUGCUGCAUUUCAAAAUUGCAGUUACAAAAGAGUCCACUCCAGUAGCUUUUUUUCUUGGCUACGUGGAGGAAUAUUUAUGAAUAAAUAAAUAAAUUCAACCGACUCUCAUUAGCAUUAGCUGGUCAUUUUUAGCUUCGUCUGUUAGCAACAACUGGACAAGGCAGAUUAUUUCCUGUCACACCAGUUUGCUGCUCCCGACCACAAUUCUUACCAAAGGACCAGACUUUUUCACCACUGUGCUAAGAUGUCUUGGUUACUGCUCCGUUUCACCAGUCUAAGACAAGGUCUCCAGAAUGCUCAAAACAUAUAGAACAGGCCUGCUGCCACAAAUGUUAUGGAUUGGUGGUUUUGGGAUGUAUCAAAACUCAAAUCACAAGAUGAUUGUCUGAGGUGCAAAGUGGGAUAUUGGCCAUUCGGCAGCUGGAGCUCAGUCCACCCAUACUGCUGCAAACACCACUUCAGCAUUUUAUAAACCCCACCUCCACCUGGAGGCUCUUAUUCCCCAGUGGAGGACUUUAUCAUUGUCACUCCCCAAUCAUCUCUGUGCUGAGCUUGUGCUUAGUGAUUGAGGACAUCAGCGCAUGACAUUUCUCCAAUACACAUAUUAGCUAGUUACGUUUUUGAGUUGAAUCAUGGCCUUCAGGCCCCUGUUGCUGUUGUGAUCCAUCUGGGUCUCUUUUGCAGGCUGUUGUUUUUGAAUUUAUAUUGUUUUGUAUUGAAUGCUCUUUCCUAUUGUUUUGUGUAUGGUGUAUUGUUCUGAUGCAAACAAAUUGCCUUUCUGGGACAAAUAACACUAACUGUGAAUUGAACUGAACUCAGUUAGAGUGAAUGAAUAAAUGAAUGAGUGUCAAGUAGAGGCCAAUCUCAGACUACGCUAUUUAAGGAUUCUCAACAACAACCGUUGAGUGAAUCUUUUUUAUUCCUUUGCAGCAUAUUGUGGUUUUGAAGUUUAUUUAAAUAUGGAAUCUGGAACUUCCUUCUUGCACAGCGUUGCUCUCUUGAUGCAAUGAGGGAUGACUGAAAUGAUGUUUCAACCGCAUCAGAGAUGGUGGAGUUGUUGAGAGAGGUUUUGUGAAAGCCUGCUGUUUAUUUGAAUCAAGCGCUGCAAAAGUAAAAAUAGGACAGCUAUUAAAGUCUGAAACUGAUGUGCUAAUGCUGUUGAUUUCAAUGUGUGACAAACUUGGUUUAAAAAAGCAUAGCAGCCAAUGUGUUGUUUUAACAGACUUUAUUACCAUUGUCAACAAGGACAAGUGUGACCUGACAAGCUGUUCAACAUUUCUUAGUAGUAGAGUAUGGAAACCAUCUAUAGCCACACAACAUACCAGUUUCUCUCUUUACCAAUC